rnacentral:rRNA from 1 species
GUGGGGAAUAUUGCACAAUGGGGGAAACCCUGAUGCAGCAACGCCGCGUGAGUGAAGAAGUAUUUCGGUAUGUAAAGCUCUAUCAGCAGGGAAGAAAAUGACGGUACCUGACUAAGAAGCACCGGCUAAAUACGUGCCAGCAGCCGCGGUAAUACGUAUGGUGCAAGCGUUAUCCGGAUUUACUGGGUGUAAAGGGAGCGCAGGCGGUGCGGCAAGUCAGAUGUGAAAACCCGGGGCUCAACCCCGGGACUGCAUUUGAAACUGUCGGACUAGAGUGUCGGAGAGGCAAGUGGAAUUCCUAGUGUAGCGGUGAAAUGCGUAGAUAUUAGGAGGAACACCAGUGGCGAAGGCGGCUUGCUGGACGAUAACUGACGCUGAGGCUCGAAAGCGUGGGUAUCGAACAGGA